ACUUAAGACAAUGGACUAGGGACCUCCAAAUGUGCAUUUACUUUCUCCUGCUGAACAGAUUGGUUGACAUUUUGAUAGAUGGUUUCCAGAAGGCUCUAGAAGGAUAAAAGGAGAUAUAAGGGAUAUUGCCUAUGUGUGUUCAUGCAAAGGAACUGCACAAUUCAGGAAAAGUUGUAACUUUAAUGAUUCCCUCAACACUCAAGAGGAGUAGGCAGUGAAGCAAGUCCUGAAAAUCAUUACAAAACUGGAUGAACCAGAAGCUCCUCUCACAAGGGCCCCAAGGCACCAUGCAAAGCAGCAGUGACUGGCCUGGUUCUUAUGCUGAGCUAAACUGAAAAAAGGAAGAGCUGGUUGACACAAAAGAGAUGAAAAUAACUGAUAUUAACCUGAGAAAUAAGCCAAGUACUUGAAGGCAGAGCAUUUUGGUCCAAACUGUCCCAUGCAGGGCUCCAAAGUUCCUGCAUGCAUCUCAGCCAUGAUGUGACAGCUCUCUGUGACUCACAGGUCAUGCCUGCUUGUUCAGCCAAGAUUUGCCAUGCCUAAUUUCCUGUCUCAACACCUGAAAUUGCAAAAGAUGCAGACACAGAGCAUGUGUGCUCACUUAAGAUGGAAAGGGGGCUUAGAAGCUGGAAGCAGAAAAUACUGGCAAAAUGUGGUUAUCUUGGAGAACGACUUCCUGAGAACUUAGCAUCAGGGGCCACCUGCCCUCCCGAGAGGACCAGCAAAUGGGACCAGCUUUUGAGAAAUCUGUUCAAUCAAAUUAAUUACUCUCCAAUAUAGAAACGAUACACCAACUGUCUGAAUUUGCUGGAAAAUAUUCACAAGUACAAUGAUAGCAAUCAUACCAAAGCUCCUCAUCCAGAGAAACUAUUCUUAAUAAUUGAAAUGUGUUCUCAUCCAGGAUUUUUAUUUCACAUAUGCCUCUGACAUCACAACAGCUGCAUAAUUCACUAUUUUGUUUUGUUCAAAAUUAUAGUCUGUAUAUUUCUCUUCUACUACAAAAAUUGAGUCUCCGUCAUUUUAAAAGAUGAUAUUAUUUGGUUAUA